AGUUCUAUAACUGUGGGCCUCUAAAGACAAUAAAGCGGAGAGAAAGAGAAACAGCUCUGCGGUCUUCUAAGGAGAAAUAUUAGCUGAUCUGCUGAAGAAAGGAUUGAUCUUCUAUUGCAAGAUUUCCUUCUGCUAAUUUCCCUGCACAAACAUCACCAAAAGGAAUACCUCAUAUUGCUAACAUUAGAAAAGAUUAAAUGUGAGGAUAUGGUGUCCAAAAGCUCCAGGACUCGUCAAAGAUCCGCUGCUGCUCUCAGGACAAAGACACCUUGCAGAAGAACACAAAAGAUUGAAGACAAAGAAAGGCCACACCACUGUUCACAGUGUGGAAAGAGUUUUACUUUAAAGACAGAUCUCCAAAGACAUGAGCGCAUUCACACUGGAGAGAAACCCUUUCCCUGCUCAGAGUGUGGGAAGAGUUUUAGUUUAAAGAGUUAUCUCCAAAGGCACCAGGGCAUUCAUACAGGAGAUAAACCGUAUCACUGUUCAGAAUGUGGAAAGCGUUUUAAUACAAAGAAUAAUCUCGAAAUACACCAGCGCAUUCACACAGGAGAAAAACUGUGUUACUGUUCAGACUGCGGAAAGAGUUUUACUACACAGAGCAAUCUCCAGAUACACCAGCGAGUGCACACAGGAGAGAAACCGUAUCACUGCUCAGAGUGUGGACAGAAUUUUAGUCAGCGUAGUACUCUCCAACUACACCGGCGCAUUCACACAGGUGAUAAACCAUAUCACUGCUCAGAGUGUGGAAAGAGUUUUAAUAGACAAAGUAAUCUCCAAAUACAUCAGCGCUUUCACACAGGAGAUAAACCAUAUUACUGUUCAGAGUGUGGAAAGAGUUUUACUUUGCUGAGUCAUCUCCAAAGACACCAGCGCAUUCACACAGGAGAGAAACCGUAUCACUGCUCAAAGUGUGGAAAGAGUUUUACUCAACAAAAUAAUCUCAUAUCACACCAGCGCACUCACACGGGAGAGAAGCUGUAUCGUUGCUCAGAGUGUGGAAAGAGUUUCACAGAAAGAGGUACCCUCAAGAAACACCAGCGCAUUCACACUGGAGAGAAACCGUAUCACUGCUCAGAGUGUGGACAGAGUUUUAGAGAAAGUGGUACCCUCAAGAAACACCAGCGCAUUCAUACUGGAGAGAAACCGUAUCACUGCUCAGAGUGUGGAAAGUAUUUUAGUCAGCUGAUUCAUCUCCAAACACACCAGCGUGUUCACACAGGAGUAAAACCGUAUCACUGUUCAGAUUGUGGACAGAGUUUUACUGUACAGAGCAAUCUCAAAACACACCAGCGCAUUCACGCAGGAGGGGAAUCGUAUCACUGCCCAGAGUGUGGGAAAACCUUCAGAAAUUCAAGAAGUGUGAAGAAACACAAAUGCAUUAAGAGAUAGGAGGUUUGAGAUCUGAAGAGACCUGGUCUACCUUUUACCAUCUUUGUAAGAAGGCAUUCUCAGUACAUCCAAGCCUCUUCCCAAACAUGCAGUGUCUGACUCUUUUCCAGUGAUUCAGCUCAGGAAAAAUAAAAGUUCAUCCAACAAUCAGUAAGCUUUUCAAGCCCAAGCAGUCAAACAGCUGUAGUUACAUCUUCGGAUUCCAAAAAAAUAAAAAGCCACCAACCACAACCAGCUCCGCGGGGCCAAGUGAGAAGAAAAUAGUCCUGAUUGAAACCUCCCUCUGAUAUACACAGUACUUCAACCCCUAAGGACACAAGGAUAAGAUGGGAGGACUGAGGAAUCAACACCAAACAUAUUUACCACAUGAAAUUCACUCAGUCAUCACUUUCAUCCCCUGUAACUUGGCUUAAAUGAUCUGCCAACAAUAAAUGCUUAUUAUUAACUAACUUUUCAAAUAAGCAUGCUUUACUGAAAUCCAAACACAUCAACAAUAUUGGAACAGCUGGAAUGCAAAGACACACAGUAUUGGAUUGGGAAACCACAAACAUCACAAUUUCACAAAAAGACACUUUUCCAUUAACAUUAAAAUAGGAAUUUGACAGGACAGUCAUAACAUCCUGUGAGAUGUCAUGUUGUUUGUGUAAUUAUGUAUUU